ensembl:lncRNA
AGUACAGUCAUUUUGCUUCAAAUUUUUGCACAAUGAACACAAAAACAGAAUCCCUGUUCUUGCACUCAAGGGACUGAAAACUUUUCAGUAUGAAAGGUCACUGGCUGAAGGCUGCUACUCUGUAGAUUAAAGUUCAGGUUCAGUUUGCUUGUGCAUUUGACAUCUCUAUGAAAACAGUUUACACUUGGAGCCUGCUACCUGAACUGGUAAAUAGUUCCCUUUUCAAAGUCUGCACAGCCACAUUGCACGCAUGUUGCAGAGCUGCAACAUACACUGCACUGCUGGAGACUGCAUUCAAUCAGAUACCAUUCUUAGAUGGAGCAUUGUCUCACCGUGGAGGCCGCAUGGGAGCAAGAGGAAGAAACAGCUCCUGGAAGCUUGCUGCUAAUCCGAGUUCAGCCUGCUCCUGCCCUUCAAUGGCCUGAGUCUCUGGACAUCAUAUGGACUGCACCCCCAGGAUCAGAAGCCCCUUCUCCUUCCCUUCUGUUCUGACAAAUGGCAGAUGGAUUCACUCCCUCCUCAUGCAGGUUCAGUUCUUUUCAAAUAUGAGAAGUUUUAGAGAACGUGAAGCAUCAGACUGGAAUGCUGGUGCAAUUCAGAGCAGGAGAAGCUCAGGAGGUCAAGACAAAAGAACCAGGAGGCUGCAGUCCUCAGCUUGCCUUUUAAUUCAUCUUUCAUGGUUUUAGCUGAGCAACUGGCACAGUAGGCACCAUGACUUUGUUCCCAUGACAUUACGUCUUGAGAGAAUCAGUGCAGCCUCAGACAAGAUGAGUGGAAAAUCACAUUAGGAGUCAGUGACGAGAAAACUUAUUCAAAAUCUUCCCUUGUUCAAGACUCAGAAAUAUUAUCCAAGCAAAACUGUUUCAGAAUCUAGCUAAAGAGCCACGAUUCUGAUGAUAAUUAAGCCUCUGAUAAUUGUGGUGCGUUGACAACAGACCUGUUGUAUUAGUCUUUAAUGCAGCUCUACCACCCUAUUAUUUUGCUCUGUUCUUUAAUCAUCUUGCUUGAAUGUUUAUGUCAAUUCUACCUUGUCAUUUAUCCCUCUGUCUCUUGGCCUGCUAAAAUGAAACACAGAAUACCAAUAACAUUAAAAAAAAAAUGAAAUGGUGAAGCAUUACAGAAAAUGUAAUGGGGAAAGCUUCCAUGAAACGUCAUUCAACACAUUCAAAACUAUAUUAAACACUUUCUGUAACCCAAACAACUACGAACCUCAGUAUUCAAUAUGAAAAAUCAGACUCCUUCUUUCUUCCAAAACUGGGUAGAAUAAUAUAGAUUUUUGUUGAGAGUGGAUUGCUUUAGAGGCUUGUUUUCUGUCCUACUGGGAAAAUGAAAGAUUUAUGUAUGGAAAAAGUAACAAGUAAGGCUGCACGACAUGAAGGUUAUUUCCAGUUAAUCUUUAUGCUACUUCUAAUUGAUUAGUCCAUUUUUAGAACUUCAGAACUUUAAAACAGUGUAUGUCCUCCGGGCACCUGUGUGUCCCGCAACUACCAGACAGGGACUUGCAAACUUAGCAAUGAGAUUUUCAAAGUUGAAGGAAGAAUGUGAAUGUCAAGCGCUUAUUUGAAUUAGUGAAAGUACCUCCUGGUAAGACCCGUGGUGAGUGUUAAAGAAAGACAUUCGUGCAAAAAUAAAUUCCCUUACAAUGCUGACUACAGUGCUAAAUUUAUUCAUCUCUAUUUCUUUUUUUUUUUUUUUUUUUUUGUGGUUAAGGCAUUUAUUUAGAAGGAUACAUAUGGAUUUGAGUCAGUCACUGAGGUCCCCCAUAAUUUUGUUUAUUUUUAUUUGUUCUUAUUACAAAUCAGUCACACGUGUAUGCCCAUACAAGCUUUGGUGUAAUGACUAAUGCUAAAUGAAAGUCAAGCCGCAAAGAUAGCUCUCCCUCCUUGAGCUUGCCAGACACCAGAGUUUGCAAAGCCUGCAAGCAUCGUAGGGAGUGCAGUAAUCACAUGGAGCUUAUUGGCUCAAGGCUUCAGAAAUCCGCAACACCCAACAAAAUGAGAUUGCUAUGAUGAACUCUAAAAAAAACACCUGUCACAGAUCUUCUGGGACUUCACUUCUUUAAUGGCUUGAAAGUGAGAUUUGAUGGCAAAUCGCACUGCAGAGAGUCAGUGUUGAACUGUCACAACCUCUGUUCCAAGAUUCCUUUUACUUCUUAGACCUGAUUAAAGCAUUUUGAUUUGAUUUGAUACUGAAGGUUAACAACCAAGUAAGCUUUUUUUUUUUUUUUUUAAUAGAAACAAAUUCUGAGCAAAUUACGGGUGAAGAACAGAUGAUAUGUAUAUACCUGUCACAGGUCUGAGGGAGAAAACUGCAGUGAAGCC